rnacentral:rRNA from 1 species
GACGAACGCUGGCGGCGUGCUUAACAUAUGCAAGUCGAGCGGAAAGGCCCUUCGGGGUACUCGAGCGGCGAACGGGUGAGUAACACGUGAGAAACCUGCCCUGGACUUUGGGAUAACCCUCGGAAACGGGGGCGUAAUACCGGAUAUGACAUUCGACCGCAUGGUUGUUUGUGGAAAGUUUUUCGGUUCGUGGGAUGGUCUCGCGGCCUAUCAGCUUGUUGGUGGGGUAAGUGGCCUACCAAGGCGACGACGGGUAGCCGGCCUGAGAGGGCGACCGGCCACACUGGGACUGAGACACGGCCCAGACUCCUACGGGAGGCAGCAGUGGGGAAUAUUGCACAAUGGGCGGAAGCCUGAUGCAGCGACGCCGCGUGAGGGAUGAUGGCCUUCGGUUG